AGUUCAUAACAGGAACUUAAAACUCUGCAGUAAGAGCUGCCUCAGAGAGAAAAUUGUGAGCCAUGGAAACUCCAGCUUCGUUUUCCUCCCUCCUUUUACUGUGGAUCACAGUGUCAGCUGUCACUGGAGAAACAACACGGUCUCCAGCCUCCUUGAGUAUUUCUCUUGGUGAAACAGCAAGUCUGACAUGCAGGGCCAGUCAGAGCGUUGGCAGCUACUUAGCCUGGUACCAGCAGAAAGCAGAGCAGGUUCCCCGGCUCCUUAUCCAUAGUGCCUCCACGAGGGCCAGUGGUGUCCCAGACCGGUUCAGUGGCACUGGGUCUGGGACAGACUUCACUCUCACCAUCAGCAGCCUAGAACCUGAAGAUGCUGCAGUUUACUACUGUCAACCUUUCAAAAGUUGGUCAUACACAGUGACUCAACAUGUGACAAAAACCUCCAGAAGACCACAGUGUAUUUGCUUUUACAAGCUACUUCCUUUUGUAGCAGCUGCUGGAUGCCCAUUCUUAGCAUUUUUAUUUUCGUUGUAA